AAUGUAGUGGUAUUUGACAUACUUCGUGAGUCAGAGGCGAGGUCUGCCCCCUCCUUUUGGACCCAAGCCUGCCUUGGCAGGCCGAUCCAGGUGGAAGACAUUGUCAAA